rnacentral:sRNA from 1 species
GAGGUGAGGCCUUUGCUCCGGCUGUGGGGCCGCCGUAGCUGCGGGGCUUGGGGGUCAGGAGAGCCGGCUGGGAGAGGCGGCGUCAGGGUGGGUCCUGCGCCUGCCCUUUCCGCGCCGGCUUUGCGCCGUCGUUGCCGUCGGUUCUCCAGCCAGCAGCCUGCCUGCGGCCUUCUGCCUCCGGGCGUUCUUCGUUUUCUGGUCGGACGGGCCUGGGUGAACUCUGCUGCACGUCGGCUCCGCGGGCCAUUGUCCCCGAGGCCGCGCCUGGAGCUCCCAAGCGCACUCCUGGGCCGGACCUCGGCGCGGGACAAAAGCCAAACGCCCCAGGCGGGCAGACCCCGAGCCUGCUGCGCCGCCUUCAAGGGGGACCGCCGGCCGCGAGCCAGGUUGGGAUUUGCUGUGUUCCUGGGCAGGUGCCUGGUCAGUCAGUCCUCGGGAUGGCAGCCAUCAACCCGUGGGCCUCCUGGGGUGCCCUUACGGACCAAUCUUGGGGGAUGACAGCUGUUGACCCAUGGGCCUCCUGGGGAGCCAGUGACCUUCAAGGACGUGGCCGUGGACUUCACCCAAGAAG